AGCCGGAACCGUGAAGUCGAGCGAGCCUGGGCUUCAGAUCCCGGCUGCACCCCCAACCUGCGGUCUGCCCUUGGGGCCGCAUUGCAUUCGCGUCGGGGAAGUUCGCAGCCUCCCCCCCCCCCCACCCCGUCACAGGAUGGAACGCGAGCUAAUGCGUGCCCAGCGCCGCGCGGUGCUCCGGGGCACCGGCCCCGCGACCCCGGGCAGCUCGGGAGGCGCUUCCUUCUGCAGGGGGGAAAAAGGCGGGUCGGGAGCCCGCGGAACAACCUGCGGCCCUUCCCGUCCUCGCCCAGCCGCCUGCGGGGAGGCGGGGCCCGACGCAGCGCUCCGAGCCCCCGGCGGGGCGGGGGGACGUCACCGUGGCCGGAAGGACCGAGGCCCCCAGACCCCGAAACCCCGGGCCGCACGCGGGCUCCCGGCCGGCGACGCCGGAGCACUGGGAGGGCCCGCCCGCGCGAGCGCCGCGGAAGCCGACGCCCCCGGCCCCGUCUCCUAACAAAGCCCGCCCCGCCCCAACCCGCCCGGCGCAGCGCGCAGGCGCGCCGCCGUUGCCAUGGCAGCGCGGCCGCCGCGCCCGACGCCGGCGGCGCCUGCGGGCAGCGCGGGCUCCGGGCCCCACGUGGGCGGCGGGGAGGCGUCCCCGACUGGCUGGCGGCGCCUCGGGGGGGCAGGUCGCGGCCUCUCCCGGGGCAGGUCGAGGGCUCGCCGGGAGCCGCCUCCAGGUGUGGCCCGGCCGCGAGGUCGGUUGGCUCCGUCUCGCCUCCCGGCCGACUGGGCCGUUCGGCGGCCCGGAGACUUUCGGGCCUGUGUCCCGGGGACGGAGGUGGUCCUCCGGGUCGGGCCCGGGCCGAGCGGGGUGUUCCGGGUUUAGACCCUCGGACCUUUUUACCUUUUUUCUCACCUGCGCACGAGCAGUACACACACACACACACACACACACACACACACACACACGCAGCCUCACGUCCCAGCCUUUUCCCUCUCGUCUUCCACCUGAAGGAUCUUUCAUCUCGGAAACAAUUUGCAGAAAAAGGAGGGGCCUCCAGAUUCAGCCUUGGAAAGCAGCCCUGGAAAUAA
rnacentral:lncRNA from 12 species